rnacentral:hammerhead_ribozyme from 15 species
CCGGCGUCUGGGGUAGGCUUCCACUAGUUACCUUACUGAUGAGUCCAGUAGUGGAGGCCGGGAUGAAACGCCAA